UUGGUUUCUCAAACAGCAUACCACAGCAUCACUCACCGCCCGAAACACCCCCCCCCCCCCCUUCUGUUUGAAAUACUCUCGAGUUUUUCCCUCUCUUCGCCUACUCUCAUUCACUGCUCUCUCUUUAGCUAUUUUACUCUCUCCUUUAUUUUUCAUUUUUUCUAAAAUCACUUCAUUUUCAUAUUAGAUUUCUUUCUCACAAACCCUAAAGUCGCAUUCGCAAACCCUAGCGCACAACGCAAGCACAUUCUUUCCAGUUUUGGAGAUGAAUCCAGAGUUCCUAUCCCAAUGUUUCCUCCAUACACUCUCUCCUGCACCGGAGCCACGACGUGCCGCCGAAGCCAAACUCACGGAAGCUGCCGACCACCCAAAUUAUGCACUCGCCGUUCUUCGCUUAGUCUCGGAACCCUCCGUCGACGAGCAGAUCCGCCACGCUGCUGCCGUCAACUUUAAGAAUCAUCUCCGCACACGCUGGGCCCCGUCACCGGAGUCUUCCCUCUCUCCCAUCCUUGAUGCGGAGAAGGAUCAGAUCAAAACCCUAAUUGUUAGUCUCAUGCUGUCCUCGACUCCUCGCAUUCAGUCACAGCUCAGCGAGUCGCUUUCUCUCAUUGGCAAACACGAUUUUCCGAAAUCAUGGCCCACUUUGCUUCCGGAGCUAAUAUCCAGCCUCGAUGCCGUCUCCCGCAAUAACGAUUACGUCUCCGUUAAUGGUGUUCUGGGUACGGCAAACUCUAUCUUCAAAAAAUUUCGUUAUCAGUACAAAACCAAUGAUCUCUUACUUGAAUUGAAGUAUUGUCUGGAUAAUUUUGCCGCUCCAUUAUUAGAAAUUUUCCUCAGGACCGCUGUUUUAAUUGACUCAACGGUUAGCUCAGGUGGUGGCUCCCCUGUAACCCUAAGGCCAUUGUUCGAGUCCCAGAGGUUGUGUUGUAGGAUAUUCUACUCGCUGAAUUUUCAGGAGUUGCCUGAAUUCUUUGAGGAUAAUAUGGACAAGUGGAUGAAUGAGUUUAAAAAAUAUUUAACAACUACGUAUCCUGCACUGGAGGGCAGCGCUGAUGGACUAGCAGUUGUUGACGACCUUAGGGCUGCAGUAUGUGAGAAUAUUAGUCUUUACAUGGAGAAGAAUGAGGAGGAGUUCAAGGGAUACGUGGAAGGUUUUGCACUUGCUAUUUGGACUUUGUUAGCCAAUGUAUCUCAGUCUUCCAGCCGUGAUAGAUUAGCUGUCACAGCAAUUAAGUUUUUGACUACAGUAAGUACUAGUGUCCAACAUGUUCUCUUUGCAAAUGAGGGGGUCAUCCCGCAGAUUUGUCAAAGUAUUGUGAUUCCUAAUGUGCGGUUGAGGGAUGAGGAUGAGGAGCUCUUUGAGAUGAAUUACAUUGAGUUUAUUAGGAGGGAUAUGGAGGGGAGUGAUCUUGAUACCAGGCGGAGGAUUGCAUGUGAAUUGCUUAAAGGGAUUGCAACAAAUUAUAGGACACAGGUAACUGAAUUGGUUGCUGUUCAGAUACAGAAUUUGUUGACUUCAUAUGCUGCAAACCCUGUAGCAAAUUGGAAGGACAAGGACUGUGCAAUAUAUUUGGUUGUUUCCCUUGCAACUAAGAAGGCUGGGGGCAUGUCUGUUUCAACUGACCUUGUCGAUGUUCAGAACUUUUUUGCACAAGUGAUAUUGCCUGAAUUGCAGAGUCAGGAUGUAAAUGGGUUUUCAAUGCUUAAGGCUGGUGCUCUCAAGUUCUUUACAGUAUUUAGGAGUUUGAUACCAAAGCCUCUUGCAGUUCAGUUGUUCCCAGAGUUGGUUAGGUUUCUUGGUGCUGAGUCUAAUGUCGUUCAUUCUUAUGCUGCAAGUUGUAUAGAGAAACUCUUGCUGGUCAAGGAUGAGGGAGGACGGCCACGGUAUAAUGCAGCUGAUAUUACUCCAUUUCUACAGGUGCUGAUGAGAAACCUCUUCAAUGCCAUGAAGUUUCCAGAGUCCGAGGAGAAUCAAUAUGUAAUGAAGUGUAUCAUGCGGGUUCUAGGAGUGGCAGAAAUAUCCCCCGAGAUUGCUGCACCUUGCAUUGCUGGAUUGACCUCAAUCCUCAAUGAAGUUUGUAAAAAUCCAAAGAAUCCUAUAUUCAACCAUUACCUCUUUGAAUCGGUGGCUGUUCUUGUUAGGCGUGCAUGUGAGAGGGACAUCUCUCUCAUACCAGCCUUUGAAACAAGCCUAUUUCCCAGCCUCCAGAUCAUUUUGGCAAAUGAUGUCACUGAGUUCUUGCCUUAUGCAUUCCAGCUCUUGGCUCAACUUGUUGAAUUGAGUAGACCCCCAAUCUCACCCAAUUACAUGCAAAUUUUUACUCUUCUACUGUCUCCUGAUUCGUGGAAAAGAAAUUCAAAUGUUCCCGCCCUUGUGCGUCUACUUCAAGCUUUCCUUCAGAAAGCACCGCAUGAGCUCAACCAAGAGGGGAGGCUCAGCCAGGUGCUUGGGAUAUUCAACAGGCUUGUGGCAUCCCCAAGUACUGAUGAACAGGGUUUUUACGUUCUCAACACUGUGAUUGAGAAUCUUGACUAUGGUGUGAUUGCUCCCUACAUGGUUCACAUCUGGAAUGCCCUUUUUACACGCCUGCAAAAUAAGCGGACUGUCAAAUUUGUCAAGUCUCUCUUGAUUUUUAUGUCACUCUUUCUGGUCAAGCACGGUUCUGCAAACCUUGUUGACACAAUGAAUGCAGUUCAACCCAAUAUAUUCAUGGUGAUUUUGGAGCAGUUCUGGAUUCCCAAUCUGAAGCUAAUCACUGGACCCAUUGAGGUUAAGUUAGCUGCAGUUGCCUCGAGUAGACUUAUCUGUGAAUCUCCUGCCCUUUUGGAUGCCCCAGCUGUUAGACACUGGGGGAAAAUGCUGGAUAGCAUUGUUACCCUUCUGUCACGGCCAGAAGAGGAUAGAGUUGAAGAUGAACCAGAAAUGCCAGAUAUUGCAGAAAAUGUGGGUUACACUGCCACCUUUGUCAAUCUUUACAAUGCUGGGAAAAAGGAGGAAGAUCCUCUGAAGGACAUAAAGGAUCCAAAGCAAUUCUUAGUUGCUUCACUAGCAAAUCUUUCUGCUCAAACCCCUGGGAGGUAUCCCCAGAUAAUCAGUGAAAAUCUUGACCCAGCUAAUCAAACAGCAUUAUUACAGUUUUGUACUACUUACAAUUGCCCAAUUGUUUGAAGGAAGAAGGGAAGGAGAAAGAAGAAAGAGGGGGGGAGAGUGCGAGAAAACAGGCAAACCCCAAAAAAGAUGUUGAGUUACUUUGUUGUCUUCAGUGUACUGUUAUUAUGAGAAUCUUGUAUGGGAAUUGAGGUCUGUUUUGUGUGAAUUCAACAAGUAUUUUCAACUAGCUAUGAUGGCAUCAUUUACUUUAUGGUGUUGGUUUGGUCUGUCGAGCAUCUUUUUUGCAACAUCCCAAGGUCUUAUGCGGUAACAAUAUGGGGUUUUACAGCCUCGGGGAGUUUGACAUUGCUUAAAGAGUGGAUAGUUGAUUCACAGUGGGCUUUUAUUGGAUUCUGCUGUAACAAAUGACUCCCUUUGCUUUGGAGUUUAUCAAAUAUUCUGGUCAUUUGAGUUGUCAUGUCAGUGUGUUAUUAUACCAUGCAUUAAUGGUCAUUGAGCUCAUGUAAAAGGAGGAAAAUGAGAUCCUCGAAGGAAUUGGUUCAAUUACUGUGUAGUUGAAUUUUGGCAUGUACUCUCUGAAAGUUUUUGGCUGUUAUUGCAGUAGAUCUGAUCUUAACUUUGAAUUUAUUAAUUACAUGAUUUGGACUCA